rnacentral:misc_RNA from 1 species
GGUUGCCUCUCCCCCUCUCUAUACUCCUCCAGCUGGUGAAGACCGGCGGACCAGCAACAACUUUGGUGAGGCUAGCAGCCGUUGGCCGCCUCGGCUUCUUCCUCUUUCUCUCCCUUCUCCCUCCCUCUUCUUAUCUUCCUCUCCAGGCGAGGAGCAGUAGCAGCCGAUACCAUCGGCAUCUUCUGCAGAAACUACCAAACAGACCGCCGGUAGCAGCAAAUGCGAAGGCGUAACUCUCUCUCCACCUUCCUCUUCUUUUUUAUUCUCCUCUCUUUGCUGGACCACCACCACCACCAGUGCAACGAGCAACCCAACAACAUCAACAACAACAACUCCAGUGAAGGAGGAAGUUGCAUGAGGCCAGUGACGACAACAGAAAACAGCAAUGUCCCCAACCAAGCGAAGCUCUGACAAAAACUGCCUUCUCCACCAGCAGCUCCGGCCAUGGAACUUCAGUGAGGGCCGAGUUUAAAUAUGAAGAUGGCAGAUCUCAACAGAUCCGUCCGGAUCCGUCAUUUCUCCCGCCAUGGAGCGCUUAUCCACUUGGUUUUUUCUGUGUUCGGGCCUAUAUCGAAUCAAAUUGGGUCUUCACUGCUGAUAAAUAAUAAGAGUCAUGGCCUAUCCUCAUUUCCCCAACAAACAAAUGGUGGUCAAAGUGAAUCCUACCCUGAAGGUUUGGUGGAAGGAUAUUUAGAGAAACCGAGAGUUAGAGGCAAAUGACCUGCUAGGUGGCCUUACCGUUUUGAUCUCCAUCUGGUCAGAUUUUCACCUGAUCAAGACAUUGUUGAAAUUUUGGGACUCUAAGAGGUUAGUUUUCAAAUUCAAGGACUUUGAUCUAACCCUAACAAUUGAUGAUAUUGGUGGGUUUCUGGGUCUCCCAUACAAAGAACGUGAAAUGAUUGUGCCACACAAGCCAACGCCAAGGUCCUUUUUGAAGCAAAUUGGCCUGCAUCAUGAUCCAAAUUUACUUUGUACGAAAAUGGGAUGAAUUUCUUUAGAAUUCCUGUAUUCACGUUUUUGAGACGAGGAAGGCCAUAAAAACAUUCACUUAGAAUUUGCUUGCUCCCCUGCAAAAUGGGAAAGAUACCGCCUUAACUCAUUCGUCGUCACAUUAUUAGGCUCAUUGAUUUUCCCUAUGGAAAGGGAAAAAAUCCAAACAAGCUUAUGUUAUGUGGUCCGUAUGUUGGCUCGAUGUGGGAAGACCAUAUUCCCAUGAUACUUUCGGAAAUUCUAAGAGCAUUUACCGCACUAAGGCAAAAGGUACUUCGAGGGGCGUAAUUUUCUGUUGCAACUUUGGGCUGUUGAACACUUCUACCAAAGUGACAAUAGGGUAGAAAUUAUUAGAGGGACCACGGGGAAUAAAAUUAUCACUCAUUCCUCAAGUAUGACAUUUUAUUUCCCU